GCGCGCCCUUCGGGGUGAGCGGCGGACGGGUUAGUAACGCGUGGGAACGUACCCUUUGGUAGGGAAUAGCCACUGGAAACGGUGAGUAAUACCCUAUGAGCCCUUCGGGGGAAAGAUUUAUCGCCAAAGGAUCGGCCCGCGUUAGAUUAGGUAGUUGGUGGGGUAAUGGCCUACCAAGCCUACGAUCUAUAGCUGGUUUUAGAGGAUGAUCAGCAACACUGGGACUGAGACACGGCCCAGACUCCUACGGGAGGCAGCAGUGGGGAAUCUUGGACAAUGGGGGCAACCCUGAUCCAGCCAUGCCGCGUGAGUGAAGAAGGCCUUAGGGUCGUAAAGCUCUUUCGCCUGUGAAGAUAAUGACGGUAGCAGGUAAAGAAACCCCGGCUAACUCCGUGCCAGCAGCCGCGGUAAUACGGAGGGGGUUAGCGUUGUUCGGAAUUACUGGGCGUAAAGCGCGCGUAGGCGGACCAGAAAGUUGGGGGUGAAAUCCCGGGGCUCAACCCCGGAACUGCCUCCAAAACUCCUGGUCUUGAGUUCGAGAGAGGUGAGUGGAAUUCCGAGUGUAGAGGUGAAAUUCGUAGAUAUUCGGAGGAACACCAGUGGCGAAGGCGGCUCACUGGCUCGAUACUGACGCUGA
rnacentral:rRNA from 1 species